AACGAACGCUGGCGGCAGGCCUAAAACAUGCAAGUCGAACGAUCUAGCACUAGAUAGUGGCGCACGGGUGAGUAACACGUGGGAAUAUCCCUUUCACUACGGAACAACGUCGGGAAACUGACGCUAAUACCGGAUAAUGUCUCCGGCCCAAAGAGUUAUCGGUGAAAGAUUAGCCCGCGUCUGAUUAGCUAGUUGGUGAGGUAACGGCUCACCAAGGCAACGAUCAGUAGCUGGUCUGAGAGGAUGAUCAGCCACACUGGAACUGAGACACGGUCCAGACUCCUACGGGAGGCAGCAGUUAGGAAUAUUGGACAAUGGGGGCAACCCUGACCCAGCCAUGCCGCGUGUGUGACGAAGGCCUUAGGGUUGUAAAGCACUUUCGUCUACGAAGAUAAUGACAGUAGUAGAAGAAGAAGCUCCGGCUAAAUUCGUGCCAGCCGCCGCGGUAA
rnacentral:rRNA from 1 species